AGGUGAUGCUGAGGGUCCUCAUGUCUCUGGGUCAUCUGCAGGAGAGCUCUUCCCAUUGCCUUGAAAGGCAGUCCCAGGGCCAGGACCAGCCCCGGGAGAAAGGAGAAACAUACUGGUUUUCACUGUGAGGACUGGCUUGCACAGAGACCACCCACCCUGAGAACUGACCUGACUUUGGUGAUCACAUUCAGCUGAGAUGAAAGUUGAAACAAGGCCAGCUGUAAUCCCCAAUAAACCAGGCCACUCUCAGCACUCAGGACAAUCAGGUCCCAUUAAAAAGCAUCUGCCAGACUGAUGUCCUGAGGAUUUCAUUACCAUGCUUAGCUAGAAGUCAUUGGCGUGGACUCAUCUCCUGUGGCCUGGGGAAGGAGCUUAAAAGCUGCAGGUCGGUUUCAGGAUGAAGAAUUCUGUAUUUGCACAGUUUUAAUAACAAGCCAUCAAGGAGAAGCCAUGAGCUGUGGGUGAGCCAUGUCAGGAGCCUCCUGGAGAAGGGAAAAUUGUCCCAGCCUGACCUGCAGCAGCUGCAGCACCAUGAGCUCAGUGGGGCUCCUCAAGACUCACUGAGGUGCCAUCUCCCAGGUCCUGAAUGUUGCAGUUGGAAGACACCCCUCGUGGCUUAGGGGUGCUGUCAAGAAUGGCUGCAUUAUCAAAAAAGUCCUCAUUGCAGCAGGUUUUAUAAGAAAAAGCAGAAUCAGCAUGGGGCACUUGUAGUAGGGAUAAAAAGAAGAAAGACUUGGAACAUUCUUUUACUAAUAAAGUUAUUUU